UACGUAGGUGGCAAGCGUUGUCCGGAAUUACUGGGUGUAAAGGGAGCGCAGGCGGGUCUUCAAGUCAGCUGUGAAAACUAUGGGCUUAACCCAUAGACUGCAGUUGAAACUGUAGAUCUUGAGUGAAGUAGAGGUAGGCGGAAUUCCGAGUGUAGCGGUGAAAUGCGUAGAUAUUCGGAGGAACACCAGUGGCGAAGGCGGCCUACUGGGCUUUAACUGACGCUGAGGCUCGAAAGUGUGGGGAGCAAAC
rnacentral:rRNA from 1 species